rnacentral:tRNA from 1 species
ACUGGCCCUGGUACAGUUUCACAAUGUUGUGGGCUGCCAUCGCGUAGGCAUCGCGGUGCGAUUCGCGGUCCAGUCC